GUCAGGCGUGAUGGCUCACGCCUGUAAUCCCAGCACUUUGGGAGGCCGAGGCGGGUGGAUCACCUGAGGUCAGGAGUUCGAGAGCAGCCUGACCAACAUGGUGAAACCCUGUCUCUA
ensembl:misc_RNA Metazoa_SRP Metazoan signal recognition particle RNA